GAUAAACGCUGGCGGCGCACAUAAGACAUGCAAGUCGAACGGACUUUAACCCAUUCUUCACGAUUGGGAGCGGUUAGUGGCGGACUGGUGAGUAACGCGUGAGCAACCUGCCUAUUAGAGGGGAAUAACAAUGAGAAAUCAUUGCUAAUACCGCAUGAUAUGUAGAAAGGGCAUCCUUUUUACAUCAAAGAUUUUAUCGCUGAAAGAUGGCCUCGCGUCUGAUUAGAUAGUUGGUGGGGUAACGGCCUACCAAGUCGACGAUCAGUAGCCGGACUGAGAGGUUGACCGGCCACAUUGGGACUGAGAUACGGCCCAGACUCCUACGGGAGGCAGCAGUGGGGAAUAUUGGGCAAUGGACGCAAGUCUGACCCAGCAACGCCGCGUGAAGGAAGAAGGCUUUCGGGUUGUAAACUUCUUUUAGCAGGGACGAAGAACGUGACGGUACCUGCAGAAAAAGCAACGGCUAACUACGUG
rnacentral:rRNA from 1 species